rfam:Izhakiella sp. D4N98 NODE_19_length_80647_cov_107.622_ID_3853, whole genome shotgun sequence.
GCUGUAAAGGGAUGGCUCCCUGCGGGGAGCCACUGCAGACGAAACUGAUAGUGUUGUGUGUGACCCAGCCCCGUUUCGUAUGCAGAUUGUUUGACGCAUUGACAGAUUGGUAACACAUGAACCCCAUCGUAAUUAAUCGCCUACAGCGUAAGCUGGGCUACACUUUUAUUC